GAUGAACGCUGACAGAAUGCUUAACACAUGCAAGUCGAUGGGGAAGUGGUGCUUGCACCAUGGCAACCAUGGCGGACGGGUGAGUAACGCGUAAGGGACUUACCUGCAGGACUGGGAUAACAGGGGGAAACUCCUGACAAGACCGGAUAAUGUCAUGGAGCUGCAUGGCUUUAUGAUGAAAGGAGACGCCUGCGGAGAGCCUUGCGUCCUAUUAGCUAGUUGGUGAGGUAAUGGCUCACCAAGUCGAAGAUAGGUAGCCGGCCUGAGAGGGUGGACGGCCACAAGGGGACUGAGAUACGGCCCUUACUCCUACGGGAGGCAGCAGUGGGGAAUAUUGGACAAUGGGGGCAACCCUGCUCCAGCAAUUCUGUGUGCACGAAGAAGGUUUUCGGAUUGUAAAGUGCUUUCAGCAGGGAAGAAGUAAGUGACGGUACCUGCAGAAGAAGCGACGGCUAAAUACGUG
rnacentral:rRNA from 1 species